rnacentral:rRNA from 1 species
CACAUGCAAGUCGAACGCGAGAGGGGCUUCGGCUCCGAUUGAGUGGCAAACGGGUGAGUAACACGUGGGUGACCUACCUUCGAGUGGGGGAUAACGUCCCGAAAGGGACGCUAAUACCGCAUAACAUCCUGCCUUUGAACAGGCGGAGAUCAAAGCCGGGGAUCGCAAGACCCGGCGCUUGAUGAGGGGCCCGCGUCUGAUUAGCUAGUUGGUGAGGUAACGGCCCACCAAGGCGACGAUCAGUAUCCGGCCUGAGAGGGCGGACGGACACACUGGGACUGAGACACGGCCCAGACUCCUACGGGAGGCAGCAGUGGGGAAUUGUUCACAAUGGGCGCAAGCCUGAUGACGCAACGCCGCGUGGAGGAUGAAGGUCUUCGGAUUGUAAACUCCUGUUGCUCGGGACGAAAAGCCUCGACCUAAUACGUCGAGGUCUGACGGUACCGAGUGAGGAAGCCCCGGCUAACUCUGUGCCAGCAGCCGCGGUAAUACAGAGGGGGCAAGCGUUGUUCGGAAUUACUGGGCGUAAAGGGCGCGUAGGCGGCCUUCUAAGUCGAACGUGAAAUCCCCGGGCUCAACCCGGGAACUGCGUCCGAUACUGCAAGGCUUGAAUCCGGGAGAGGGAUGCGGAAUUCCAGGUGUAGCGGUGAAAUGCGUAGAUAUCUGGAGGAACACCGGUGGCGAAGGCGGCAUCCUGGACCGGCAUUGACGCUGAGGCGCGAAAGCUAGGGGAGCAAACGGGAUUAGAUACCCCGGUAGUCCUAGCUGUAAACGAUGGGCACUAGGUGUGGGGGGAUCGACCCCUUCCGUGCCGCAGUUAACGCAUUAA